rnacentral:lncRNA from 1 species
CACUAUUUUAUACGGUGACACCUUUGCUUUGAUUCUUCUCUUACAUCGAUUCGGUUAGAUACUGUUGCGUGCAUGGGGACUCAAUUACUUCGUCUCGAUCAAUUUGAUUUUGUUACAAAUAUAAUAUUUGAAAGUAGAUCAUGACCCGCCCUUCCAAAGGAUAGAUAAACUUUUUUGUUUUAAUUUUUUUCUGAAAGAUUUAAUUUUUAUAUUUGGGUUUGUAAUCAUAUUUGCGUUUAAUAUUAAUUUAAUUUGAUAAAAUAAUUUUUUAAAUAAAUAAAAUACAUAGUUGGACAUAACAUUUAUCAAUAGUUUAUGAUGCUGUUUUAAUAGAGUAGAUGAAAAAAUAACAUUCAAAAUAAUAUCACACAACUUCUAAAGAAAGAAACAAAAGAAAAACAAUUUAAAACGCAUCAUGCUUGUACCGUAGUCGUUUCAGUUAGAGUUAGACAAUUUUCUCAAAUCUUUACAGUUAAUUAAAAAAAAUAAGAAUUUAAAGAGGAAUGGAUUAAUUAACUGUAAAGAUUUGCUGUAAAGAUUUAAAGAGAUGGUUAACUAUAACCUUAACUGGCUGUUUUAAACUUCCCCAUCUC